GUAGGGUGCGAGCGUUAAUCGGAAUUACUGGGCGUAAAGCGUGCGCAGGCGGAUUGUUAAGCAAGAUGUGAAAUCCCCGGGCUUAACCUGGGAAUGGCAUUUUGAACUGGCAGUCUAGAGUGUGUCAGAGGGGGGUGGAAUUCCACGUGUAGCAGUGAAAUGCGUAGAGAUGUGGAGGAACACCAAUGGCGAAGGCAGCCCCCUGGGAUAACACUGACGCUCAUGUACGAAAGCGUGGGUAGCAAACAGGAUUAGAUACCCUGGUAGUCCACGCCCUAAACGAUGUCAACUGGUUGCUGGGGAAGGUGACUUCCUUAGUACCGCAGCUAACGCGUGAAGUUGACCGCCUGGGGAGUACGGCCGCAAGGUUA
rnacentral:rRNA from 1 species